rnacentral:rRNA from 1 species
AUUGAACGCUGGCGGAAUGCUUUACACAUGCAAGUCGAACGGUAGAGGGGGCAACCCCUCGAGAGUGGCGAACGGGUGAGUAAUAUAUCGGAACGUGCCCAGUCGUGGGGGAUAACGUAGCGAAAGUUACGCUAAUACCGCAUACGAUCUAAGGAUGAAAGCGGAGGAUCGCAAGACCUCGCGCGAUUGGAGCGGCCGAUAUCAGAUUAGGUAGUUGGUGGGGUAAAGGCUCACCAAGCCAACGAUCUGUAGCUGGUCUGAGAGGACGACCAGCCACACUGGAACUGAGACACGGUCCAGACUCCUACGGGAGGCAGCGGUGGGGAAUUUUGGACAAUGGACGCAAGUCUGAUCCAGCCAUUCCGCGUGCAGGAUGAAGGCCCUCGGGUUGUAAACUGCUUUUGUACGGAACGAAAAGGUCUCUCUUAAUACGGGGGACUCAUGACGGUACCGUAAGAAUAAGCACCGGCUAACUACGUGCCAGCCGCCGCCGUAA